GAUGAAGAACGUAGCGAAAUGCGAUAAGUAAUGUGAAUUGCAGAAUUCAGUGAAUCAUCGAAUCUUUGAACGCACCUUGCACCCUUUGGCAUUCCGAAGGGUAUGCUCGUUUGAGUGUCAUUGUACUCUCACUCUCCCGAUACUUUUGGAUCGGGAGUGGUGGACUUGGUUGCUGCUGCUUAACUGUGGCUCGCCUUAAAUGAAGUAGUGCAACUCUCGGUUGGACAUAGUACGGCGUGAUAAGUGUCUUCGCCGGCGCCUCAUUCGAGGGUGGCCGAUCGGGAGCUCUGUGCUUCAAACUGUCUUCGGACAACAUCUGACAACUUGACCUCAAAUCGAGUAGGACUACCCGCUGAACUUAAGCAUAUCAAUAAGCGGAGGA
rnacentral:misc_RNA from 1 species